GCCUACGCAUAGGCAAUGCGAAGUCGCAAUAUAAAUAUAAGUUUAUAGUAAGCAAAUAUAAAAAUAAGUUAUAGUAAGAAAACGACUAGGAAAGAAUAGGGCAGGAACAGGGACGCCACGAUUGGCUAAUGAGCAGUACUGGUAGGAUAGAAUAGGAUAGCGAGUAAAUACGAUAGGGAUAGACUUAUAGGCUUAGGUAGAAUCAUAAUUAUUACAUAAGUAGGCUAGACUAUUUUACAUAAGGGAAUUGGAUAUAAAUAGGGUGUCGGUGGCAAAGAACGACAAAAAAAAGGUUCGAACGAAAUACGAGGAAACUCUGCCCGAUUGCGAAGCGUUGUAAUAAAAUUUAGUUUUUAAAGUAUAUCACGUCAACCUCCAGUGUUAUUUUGUGGUCGUAAAUAGUUACAUUUAAAACAUAUCACAUGGCGACCGUGAUCAUGUAAUGUACAUGACGACGCGAACUACAAAAAAAAAAAAAUCAUUCAAAAUAGUAACGGUACAGUGUGUAAGUUGCAACAAGAAUAGUAACUAUUAACCGUAAAGCUACCACCACAAAUUCGGAGGAACUACGCUAACGAUAUAAGUGCAACGACCGAUGAACGUACGGGCAACCGAUCGCUCAAAUUGAUCCCCCAACGGUGAGAAAAAGUGUCGUAGGACGAAACAGGCAGGAUCAUUAAGGAUCCCAUCAACGACGAUAGCGAGAGCGAGAGAGUGUCAGUGAUCAAUGUUACAAGUGCAAAGUAUGACCGUAAGCAACCGUAAGCACAAAGAGUGAAGAAUACGUUGAACGAGUGAAAAAUAAGCCGAAAGAGUGAACGAGAUUGUGUGACAAGCAGGAAACCGAAAAUGUGAGCAAAACUUUACGACAGUAGUGGAUAACCGAAGAGUCACUAACGCAGAACAUUGACGAUGAGAACAGUACGGGCAAUGACAUCACAGCGAGCUAUCCGGAAGAUCCUUACGAACGUGAAGGAAUGAGUGAUCGACUGAGAGAUCUACAAUCUACGACGGGCGGCAGUAUCACCAGGAAGGAAUGAGUGAUCAACUGUGAGUAACCUACGACGGGCAGCAGUAACAACAUCGAACGAAGAUAGCGGAACAAACGAUAGUGUGCGAUAAUUCCCCAUGCGUGAGUAAAAAAAAAAAAAAAAAAAAAAAA